GUACUUACCAAUCCCAAGAGGGAACAGCAAAACUGAUGCAGUGGAUGUGGUCAGGACAGACAGAUGACAGUGGCACAGCAACAAUCUGGAACAACAAAGCAAAACACAAAAGUCUCAUCCAGACAACGUUAGAAGGACAAGAGA